rnacentral:lncRNA from 1 species
UUUGCUCUGUUUUUCCUGUACUGUUGCACGCGCACACCCACAUCCGCUUCGGGCCAGAUCUGCUGCUCUGCUGGGUUUCCACAGUGCGCAGCAUUCGGCCCGCAUCUUCUUUUUAUGUUCGCUGCGAUUUGUCUAGUUCAAGUGCAUGCAUAUUUACAGGAAAUGCCAUCAUUUUAAAUUGUUAAUAACUCAUUAACCGUGCAUCGGAUUAAAAUGAUGUAAACAUGUAAAAUGCUUAGAAUUUCUUCUAGUUUCAUAACUUGCCACUUUCAUCCAUGCUUAAAAUGUUUAACUUGCUGUUUAUUUAAUUUUGCAUAAAUGCCAUGUUAAAAUGAUUUAUUUCAUAACUAAUUAACCGUAGCUCCAAAUUAAAUGUUCUUUAUAUGUAAAUGGGGUAGAAAAAUGCCUAGUUUAACAUGGUGCACCUAUCUUGUAUGUUUAACAACAAUACAAUAUGCUUUAGGACAGAACAGUACCAAUUCCAAAAUAUGCAUAUGAGGAUUUUCCGGAAUUGUUAUUUGCUGUUCCGGCCUCAUUUAAACUUGCCUAAAUAGUUAGUUUACUUAUGCUUAACCUCUUGCCAUGUUAAUCAACAUUUAAUAUUGUUGAGUACAUAAACGGGAGAGAACUAAAUAAGUCAUGUGGUGUUUCGUCAAUAUGCAACUCGUUGCAUAUUGAGCUCCACUUAAUUUGUAGUAUUGUUUGUUGCACUUUGCCAUGCCAUGCCUCUUUAAACCGGACAUGCAUCAUACUUGAUUGUGCAUCAUGCCAUGUUUAUGUGAUGGUUGUUUACUAUGUUGCUUGCUUCUUUCCGGGUUGCUUCUCUCGUUAGCUUCGGUUUUGUUCCGAAGUUGUGAGCAUUCGUUCGACUACGUCCGUUUGUCUUCUUCAUGGACUCGUUCUUCUUCCUUGCCGGAUCUCAGGCAAGAUGACCAUACCCUCGAAAUCACUUCUAUCUUUGCUUGCUAGUUGUUCGCUCUAUUGCUAUGCCGCGCUACCUACCACUUGCUAUAUCAUGCCUCCCAUAUUGCCAUGUCAAGCCUCUAACCCACCUUUCCUAGCAAACCGUUGUUUGGCUAUGUUACCGCUUUUGCUCAGCCCCUCUUAUAGCGUUGAUAGUUGUAGGUGAAUUUGAAGUUUGUUCCAUGUUGGAACAUGGAAAUGGUGGGAUAUCACAAUAUAUCUUAUAUUAUUAAUGCAUCUAUAUACUUGGUAAAGGGUGGAAGGCUCGGCCUUAUGCCUGGUGUUUUGUUCCACUCUUGCCGCCCUAGUUUCCGUCAUACCGGUGUUACGUUCCUUGAUUUUGCGUUCCUUACACGGUUGGGUGAUUUAUGGGAACCCCUUGACAGUUCGCUUUGAAUAAAACUCCUCCAGGAAGGCCCAACCUUGGUUUUACAUUUGCCUAACAACCUAUUUACCCUUCCCUUGGGUCGGCCAACCCGAGGGUCAUCUUUAUUUUAACCCCCGGGCCAAUGCUUCUCUAAGUGUUGGUCCGAACCGAGUAGAUUGCGGGGCCACCUCGGGGAAACUUGAGGCUUGGUUUUACUCGUAGGAUGUCUCAUCCGGUGUGCCCUGAGAACGAGAUAUGUGCAGCUCCUAUCGGGAUUUGUCGGCACAGUCGGGUGGUCUUGCUGGUCUUGUUUUACCAUUUUCGAAAUGUCUUGUAACCGGGAUUCCGAGACUGAUCGGGUCUUCCUGGGAGAAGGAAUAUCCUUCAUUGACCGUGAGAGCUUGUGAUGGGCUAAGUUGGGACACCCCUGCAGGGUAUUAUCUUUCUAAAGCCGUGCCCGCGGUUAUGUGGCAGAUGGGAAUUUGUUAAUGUCCGGUUGUAGAGAACUUGACACUUGACUUAAUUAAAAUACAUCAACCGCCUGUGUAGCCGUGAUGGUCUCUUCUCAGCGGAGUCCGGGAAGUGAACACGGUUCUUGUGUUAUGUUUGAAUGUAAGUAGUUUCAGGAUCACUUCUUGAUCACUUCUAGCUUCUCGACCGUUGCGUUGCUUCUCUUCUCGCUCUUAUUUGCGUAUGUUAGCCACCAUAUAUGCUUAGUGCUUGCUGCACCUCACCACUUUACCCCUUCCUUACCCAUAAGCUUAAAUAGUCUUGAUCUCGCGGGUGUGAGAUUGCUGAGUCCUCGUGGCUCACAGAUACUUCCAAACAGUUGUAGGUGCCGAUGAUACUAGUGCAGAUGACGCAACCGAGCUCAAGUGGGAGCUUGAUGAAGAUCUUGUUCGUUAUGUUGUUUCGUUUCCUGUUGAUCAGUAGUGGAGCCCAGUUGGGACUAUCAGGGAUCUAGCAUUUGGGGUUGUCUUCUUUUAUUUUGGUUCCGUAGUCGGACCUCGAUUGUACUCUGAAUGAUGUAUGUUUGAUUUAUGUAUUGUGUGAAGUGGCGAUUGUAAGCCAACUCUUUAUCCCAUUCUUGUUCAUUACAUGGGAUUGUGUGAAGAUGACCCUUCUUGCGAC